UGGAUUUAUUUCCAUUUAGAUAUAUGCUCAUCAUUUAUUGAUGAGAUAAUUUUAAUUAGUCGUGUGUGCUUAUGCUCGUGAGGGUGUCAGUAUACAAAAUUUUAAAGUUGAGU
rnacentral:ncRNA from 1 species